UUUACUUCGUUUCUCAUUUUAUAAUGAAAAAUUUGUAUCCAUACACCGACCUGUUCUCAUUUCCCCCACAACCAGCUGCAGACUACAAUUUAUACUCUGUUCUGUGGUUCCUUUUUCUUCUUUUAGAUUCCACAUGUAAGCGAUAUUUCACUUAGCAUAAUGUUCUCCAAGUUCACCCAGUGUUCUUGAAAAUGUCAGGGUUAACUUUUGUUAAGGCUGAAUAAUAUCUCAUUUUGUAUGUUAUGUAUGUGUGUACCACCUUUCUUUAUCCAUUUAUCUACCACAAACAGGAAGUUUCUUUCUGUACCAUCAUUUUGUGAUUCAUGUUUCAGAGAACAUAGAAAAGCACUGAUAACUUUUUCAGAUAAAAAUGUUUGUUUCUUUUUGCUAAAUGACCAGAAGUGAAAUCGCUGGGUCACAUAGUACUCUAAUUUUAUUUUUUGAAGCAUCUCCACAGUGUUUUAAAUAUUGUACCAAUUUACAUUCCGAACACCAAUGCACAAGGUUUUUUAAGUGAUGUCAGACCUACUGUGAAGGCCCUGUCAGUGAGUGGAUGCUCAGGUUCUACAGAACGCCUGUGAGGUCUUUGUGGGAGGUCUCAGAAACAGCUCUCUGCCUAACGGUUUGAGAGGUCACUGGGAGAGUUUGCUCAGUGCGGGUCUGUGAGGGGCCCUUGUGUGGGGUCAGUGUGGCUCUGUGCCAGGCCCCUGUGAGGGGCUAGUGGGGUCCCUAUGGGAGAUCAGUAUGGGCUUGUCUGGGGCUUGUGUGGGGUCACUUUUUAUCUGUAGGAGGUCUCUCUGUGGGACUAGGGGGGUCUAUGGGGUCAGUGUUGUGGAGUCAGUGUGGGCUUGUCUGGGGUCACUUUUUAUCUGUGGGAGGUCUCUGUGUGGGACUAGGGGUCUAUGUGUGCGGUCAGUGUUGUGGAGUCUGUGGGCUUGUGGGAGAUCCCUGUGGGGGGCCCUACACUGCUGUCCUUUCUGCAUUUAGGGCAGGAGAAGGGCAGAGGGACUUUUCUGUCAAUAUCCCUUCUGUCACUCCUCCGGACAGGAGACGAUGGGGCACCCGGGCACUCACCUCUUGGUGCCCCUAAGAGGACCAAGCAGCAGCCAGGCUCAAGGUGCCUGCUCUGUGCCCCACUCUUCCGAGCUCUGGAGGCCACUCUGUGCCCUGAGCCCCUCCCUCAGGCCCUGAGCCCUGGCUGCUGGGCCCAACCUGGACGAUGGGGACCAGAGGAGGGACCAGGCUCCAGGGAGAAACCGCAGCACAAGCAGGCCCGUGCCGCUGCCCUCCCCUCCCAGGUCCUGGUCCUACAUGUUGGGGUUCUGACAUGCUGACAGUAGUUGACACUUGCUGUGACGCCAACAUAGUCCCUGGGCCUGUUGAGUCCCACAUGUUCCCUAAGAGUCUCCUUGGAUCACAGACUGUGAAUCUGUCCCAAGCUCCCAGUCCUGUGAAAGCUGAUUAAUUACACUGUGGAGAAGUGAAGUUUCCCUGCUCAGAGGCUCCGCUGCCUCUGGGAGCCUGGCCCUCUGUGGAGGAGCUCUAGGCAUUCUCCCUCUGCCUGGGCUCUGGGAGCUGGAGUAAGGGGAGACCCUGGGGUGGGGCCACCAGGAACCACCGGGCCUCUAACUUCUUUCCUUUGGGCCUGUAGACAGUGGUGGGACGCCAGGGAUCCCUCGGUCACUGCACCAUCCGUGGACACCUCUGCCACCUGCCUCCUUUCCAUGCAUCCCACCCUAGGGGCACAGCGUCCCACCCUCAAGCAGUGAGGUGACUGCACACACCGUGACACCCCUGCUUCUUCCCCAGGGGAGGCGGGCGCUGUGAACAGGGCUGUCCUCUCCUCUGGGGCAGGGUGGACCAGCCCGGGGGCCUCCGUGCUCUACACUGCACACCCUCAGAGCCGGGAAUGUGGUCCUCAUCCUCGCCUCUGCUCCAGAGCAUGAGAAAGGCAGAGGGAGGGUGAUGCUCCUGGUUCAUCUCAUUCCAGUUCCGUCUGGGAGAGGAGGGACUUCCAGGGCAGCGUCAUCUAUCCCACCGUGACACGAGGACAAGGUUUCUCCCACUUGUCACUUGGGGCCAGCACUGCCCCCAAGCUCCCGUCCUUAUUCUGACAGGAGAAGUUGUCUCUGACACCUUCUGAGCCUGAGGGGAAUUUCAGCCUCUGCAACCCAAUCCCCCACCCACAGCUGUACAGGUUCAAAGUAGAGAGAGAGCAGGAGAGGACUGAGCUGGAUCCUGAGAAGGAGUGGUCUUUAGGUUUAGUUCACCUUGGCAUGUCCUGAAUGCUGUUGCUUGUUUCUGUAAUGCUGGUAUUGUGGAAACUGGGGUGCAAUGAGGAAAUUGGGGUGAGGGUGAGUAUCCACACUGGGGUCACCCUCCCUACAUGUCCCAGUCCCAUCUGGAAGACAAAGCAGGCACCUGAGAAGAGUGAACCCUGACCCCUUCCCUUCCCCCCGGCAGGGUGCAAAGAGGCCACCACUGUUCAUGAGAAAAAGAACAUUUAUUCCAGGAAACAGUAAACUUCGUGGUAGGAAGAAGCCAUUAGCACACAGAGGAUGUGCUAACAUGAAAGAAAAAGUUUUUAGCUGCAUGGUAUGCGUUUUUUUCUUGGAGAUGAGUUUUUCUACCAGGAAAGCUGUGACAGGCAUGUUCUGAUUGACCAAAAGAGGUCUGUUUCUAAAAGAGGUAGUACCUUGGACAGUGGAGAGGAUGGCCUGGGACACCUGUCAC
ensembl:lncRNA